rnacentral:rRNA from 1 species
AUUGAACGCUGGCGGCAGGCCUAACACAUGCAAGUCGAGCGAGCGGCGGACGGGUGAGUUAUGUAUGGGGAUCUGCCCGAUAGAGGGGGUUAACUACUGGAAACCGUGGCUAAUCCCGCAUACUAUCCGAUUUAACCAUAUGGGAUUAGCUAGUAGGUGUGGUAAGGGCUCACCUCGGCGACGAUCUCUAGCUGGUCUUAGAGGAUGAACAGCCAGACUGGGACUGAGACACGGCCCAGACUCCGACGGGAGGCAGCAGUGGGGAAUAUUGCACAAGGGGCGCAAGCAUGAUGCAGCCAUGCCGCGUGUAUGAAGAAGGCCUUAGGGUUGUAAAGUACUUGCAGCGGGGAAGCGUUACCCGCAGAAGAAGCACCGGCUAACUCCGUACCAGCAGCCGCGGUAAUAC